rnacentral:rRNA from 1 species
GACGAACGCUGGCGGCGUGCUUAACACAUGCAAGUCGAACGGUGAAGCUCCAGCUUGCUGGAGUGGAUCAGUGGCGAACGGGUGAGUAACACGUGAGCAACCUGCCCCUGACUCUGGAAUAAGCGCUGGAAACGGCGGCUAAUACUGGAUACGAGAAGGGUCCGCAUGGGCACUGUCGGGAAAGUUCGGCGGUUGGGGAUGGGCUCGCGGCCUAUCAGCUUGUUGGUGAGGUAAUGGCUCACCAAGGCGACGACGGGUAGCCGGCCUGAGAGGGCGACCGGCCACACUGGGACUGAGACACGGCCCAGACUCCUACGGGAGGCAGCAGUGGGGAAUAUUGCACAAUGGGCGAAAGCCUGAUGCAGCGACGCCGCGUGAGGGAUGACGGCCUUCGGGUUGUAAACCUCUUUCAGCAGGGACGAAGCGAAAGUGACGGUAACUGGAGAAGAAGCACCGGCUAACUACGUG